UACGAAGGGUGCUAGCGUUGUUCGGAAUCACUGGGCGUAAAGCGCGCGUAGGCGGCCAAUCAAGUCAGGGGUGAAAUGCCACGGCUCAACCGUGGAACUGCCUUUGAAACUGAUUGGCUGGAAGAUGAGAGGGGAUAGCGGAAUUCCUGGUGUAGCGGUGAAAUGCGCAGAUAUCAGGAGGAACACCGGUGGCGAAGGCGGUUCUCUGGGCAUGUCCUGACGCUGAGGAGCGAAAGUGUGGGGAGCGAACAGG
rnacentral:rRNA from 1 species